CAUAGCGACUAUCGUGGCAUAUCAAUAAGCGGAGGAAAAGAAACUAACAAGGAUUCCCUUAGUAACGGCGAGUGAAGCGGGAAGAGCUCAAAUUUGAAAUCUUCAAGGUUUUACCUUGACGAAUUGUAGUUUAAAGAAGUGUUUUCUGUUGGAGUUUUGGUAAAAGUUCUUUGGAAUAGGACAUCAUAGAGGGUGAGAAUCCCGUAUUUGACCAUUAUUUCCAGCUGUGUGAUACACUUUCAAAGAGUCGGAUUGUUUGGGAAUGCAGUCCAAAAUGGGUGGUAAAUUUCAUCUAAAGCUAAAUAUUGGCGAGAGACCGAUAGCGAACAAGUACCGUGAGGGAAAGAUGAAAAGAACUUUGAAAAGAGAGUUAAACAGUACGUGAAAUUGUCAAAAGGGAAGCGUUUGACACCAGUGUUGUUUUUCCGAAAAUCAAUUAAAAAUUGAUUCAUGCUAGGUUGUAUUGACCUCAUCAGCUUGCAAUUUAGUUUUGGGUCUCUUUUUGAUGCACUCUUCGGUUAACAAGUCAACAUCAAUUUCCUUUGUUGUAAAAGGGUAUGAGGAAGGUGGCUUUCUUUUCGGAGAAAGUGUUUAUAGCCUUGUGCCUCUGCAAUCGGAGAGAUUGAGGUCUGCAGCGUAGAUCCUUCGGGGUUAGAUACGUUUGUGCUAAGUUAUAGCUUUUCAUAGACAACUUGUUGACUAUGUUUAGUCUUGUAGCUUACUCGCUGACGCUAUUUUACCUACGCUUAGGAUGUUGAUAUGCAUGACUGAUAU
rnacentral:rRNA from 1 species